rnacentral:rRNA from 1 species
AUGUGGAGGUCCAUCUUGCUCGCGGCGGUGGUCGCGCUGGCGCUGGCGCCGGCGCCGGCGCUGGGGAUCCCGUUCAGGGAGGAAGACCUGGCCUCGGAGGAGAGCCUGCGGGGGCUCUACGAGAGGUGGAGGAGCCACUACACGGUGUCGCGGGGGGGCCUCGGCGCCGACGCGGAGGAGCGCCGGUUCAACGUGUUCAAGGAGAACGCGCGGUACGUCCACGAGGGCAACAAGAAGGACAGGCCCUUCAGGCUGGCGCUCAACAAGUUCGCCGACAUGACCACGGACGAGUUCCGGCGUACGUACGCCGGGUCCAGGGUGCGGCACCACCUCUCCCUCAGCGGCGGCCGCCGGGGCGACGGCAGCUUCAGGUACGAAGACGCCAACAACCUGCCGCCGGCGGUGGACUGGCGGCAGAAGGGCGCCGUCACCGGCAUCAAGGACCAAGGGCAGUGCGGGAGCUGCUGGGCGUUCUCGACGAUCGUGGCGGUGGAGGGCAUCAACAAGAUCAGGACGGGGAAGCUGGUGUCGCUGUCGGAGCAGGAGCUCAUGGACUGCGACAACGUCAACAACCAGGGCUGCGACGGCGGCCUCAUGGACUACGCCUUCCAGUUCAUCCACAAGAACGGGAUCACCACCGAGUCCAACUACCCGUACCAAGGCGAGCAGGGCAGCUGCGACCAGGCAAAGGAAAAGGCUCAUGCCGUGACGAUCGACGGCUACGAGGACGUCCCCGCCAACGACGAGUCCGCUCUACAGAAAGCCGUCGCCGGCCAGCCCGUGUCCGUGGCAAUAGACGCCAGCGGCAACGACUUCCAGUUCUACUCAGAGGGCGUCUUCACCGGAGAAUGCAGCACGGAUCUCGACCACGGCGUCGCCGCCGUCGGGUACGGCACUACCAGGGAUGGCACCAAAUACUGGAUCGUCAAGAACUCGUGGGGAGAGGACUGGGGUGAGAAAGGCUACAUCAGGAUGCAGCGCGGGGUGUCGCAGGCAGAGGGGCAGUGUGGCAUCGCCAUGCAGGCGUCCUACCCAACGAAGUCGGCACCACAUGCUAGCACAGUCAGGGACGGGUCUCAUACGGAUGAGCUCUAG